rnacentral:tRNA from 1 species
UCUUCCUUGGUCUAGUGGUAAGGAUACCUGCCUGUCAUACAGACAGUGCGCAGUUUCGCAGGUGGCCGGGGUUCGAUUCCCCGAGGGAGAG